rnacentral:rRNA from 1 species
UACGUAGGCAGCAAGCGUUGUUCGGGGUUACUGGGCGUAAAGGGUGUGUAGGCGGUUAUUUAAGUUUGGUGGGAAAUCUCCCGGCUCAACCGGGAGGGUGCGCCGAAUACUGAAUGACUUGGAGUGCGGGAGAGGAAAGUGGAAUUCCUGGUGUAGCGGUGAAAUGCGUAGAUAUCAGGAGGAACACCGGUGGUGUAGACGGCUUUCUGGACCGUAACUGACGCUGAGACACGAAAGCGUGGGUAGCAAACAGG